rnacentral:rRNA from 1 species
CCUACGGGCGGCAGCAGUAGGGAAUUUUUCACAAUGGGCGAAAGCCUGAUGCAGCAAUGCCGCGUGAAUGAUGAAGGUCUUAUAGAUUGUAAAAUUCUUUUAUUUGGGAAGAAAAACUAAAGUAGGAAAUGACUUUAGUCUAACUUUACCAUUUGAAUCAGUAUCGGCUAACUCUGUGCCAGCAGCCGCGGUAAUACAUCGGAUGCAAGCGUUAUCCGGAUUUAUUGGGGGUAAAACGACCGCGGGGGGGUUAACAGGUUGAGUAUGAAAGGCUUUUGCUUAACGUAAGAUUGUAUCAGAUACUGGUAGUCUUGAGUGUAGUAGAGAGAUGUGGAAUUCGAUGUGUAGCGGUGGAAUGCGUAGAUAUAUGGAAGAACACCAGUGGCGAAGGCGAGAACUUAGGCUAUCACUGACGCUUAGGCUCGAAAGUGUGGGGAGCAAAUAGGAUUAGAUACCCCGGUAGUC